rnacentral:misc_RNA from 1 species
AAAUGCGAUAAGUAAUGUGAAUUGCAGAAUUCAGUGAAUCAUCGAAUCUUUGAACGCACAUUGCGCCCGCCAGUAUUCUGGCGGGCACGCCUGUCCGAGCGUCAUUUCAACCAUCAAGCCCCCGGGCUUGUGUUGGGGACCUGCGGCUGCCCGCAGGCCCUGAAAACCAGUGGCGGGCUCGCUGUCACACCGAGCGUAGUAGCAAUCACCUCGCUCAGGGCGUGCUGCGGGUUCCGGCCGUUAAACAGCCUUACAAAACCCAAGGUUGACCUCGGAUCAGGUAGGAAGACCCGCUGAACUUAAGC